rnacentral:rRNA from 1 species
AACGAACGCUGGCGGCAGGCCUAACACAUGCAAGUCGAACGCCCUAGCAAUAGGGAGUGGCGCACGGGUGCGUAACGCGUGGGAAUAUGCCCUUCACUGCGGAAUAACGUUUGGAAACGAACGGUAAUACUGCAUAAUGACUCCGGUCCAAAGAUUUAUCGGUGAAGGAUUAGCCCGCGUUAGAUUAGCUAGUUGGUGAGGUAAUGGCUCACCAAGGCGACGAUCUAUAGCUGGUCUGAGAGGAUGAUCAGCCACACUGGGACUGAGACACGGCCCAGACUCCUACGGGAGGCAGCAGUGAGGAAUAUUGGACAAUGGGCGCAAGCCUGAUCCAGCCAUGCCGCGUGAGUGAAGAAGGCCUUCGGGUUGUAAAGGCUCUUUCAGAUGUGAAGAUAAUGACGGUAGCAUCAGAAGAAGACCCCGGCUAAAUUCGUGCCAGCAGCCGCGGUAAU